rnacentral:ncRNA from 1 species
AAUAAGUUUAGUUUUGGCUUAAAUUUAUACCUCUCUUUAUAAUAUAUGUAAUGUUUUAAAUAGAAAGGUUGCAGUAUUAAAUUUUAAUAAUUGAAUUAGUUUAGAAUUAGUAAAUGGGAAGAGAUUAAGCUAAAGGCGUGCCAGCCGCUGCGGUUAAACGCUUUAAUCAAUAUAAAUUUAUUGGAAAUAGGUUAAAUAGUAUAUAAAAUUAUAACUUAUUUAUUUGUGAAAUUAUAAUAAUAAGUUUAAAAUUAUUUUAUGAUUUGAUACCUAAUGAUAAUUGGCUUAAACUAGGAUUAGAUACCCUAUUAUUCAAAUUAUUAUAAUAUUUCCGGAGGAGUAGUAGUUAUAAUCUUGAAAUUCAAAAAACUUGGCGGUUCUUUAGACGAGUUAGAGGAACCUGUGCCGUAAUCGAUAGUCCACGAAAUAACUUACUAUAAUUUUGCUUAUAUACCGUUGUCGUGAAGAUGAUUUUUUAAGAAUUUAUCUAAAUUUAUAAUUUAAAAGAUGUCAGAUCAAGGUGUAGCUAUAUUAUAGAGAGUAUGGGUUACAAUAUUAAUAAGUACACGGAAUUUAUUUGUGAAUAUAAGGAAGGCGGAUUUAAACGUAAAUAUAUAAAGAUAUUGAGUGAAGCUCUGAAGAAUGCACAUAUCGCCCGUCACUCUCAUUUUAAAGUUGAGAUAAGUCGUAACAUAGUAGAUAUACUGGAAAGUAUAUCUAGAAAGUU